rnacentral:rRNA from 2 species
GGAGCCGGCCUUGAAAUACCACCCUUUAAUGUUUGAUGUUCUAACGUGGACCCGUGAUCCGGGUUGCGGACAGUGUCUGGUGGGUAGUUUGACUGGGGCGGUCUCCUCCUAAAGAGUAACGGAGGAGCACGAAGGUUGGCUAAUCCUGGUCGGACAUCAGGAGGUUAGUGCAAUGGCAUAAGCCAGCUUGACUGCGAGCGUGACGGCGCGAGCAGGUGCGAAAGCAGGUCAUAGUGAUCCGGUGGUUCUGAAUGGAAGGGCCAUCGCUCAACGGAUAAAAGGUACUCCGGGGAUAACAGGCUGAUACCGCCCAAGAGUUCAUAUCGACGGCGGUGUUUGGCACCUCGAUGUCGGCUCAUCACAUCCUGGGGCUGAAGUAGGUCCCAAGGGUAUGGCUGUUCGCCAUUUAAAGUGGUACGCGAGCUGGGUUUAGAACGUCGUGAGACAGUUCGGUCCCUAUCUGCCGUGGGCGCUGGAGAACUGAGGGGGGCUGCUCCUAGUACGAGAGGACCGGAGUGGACGCAUCACUGGUGUUCGGGUUGUCAUGCCAAUGGCACUGCCCGGUAGCUAAAUGCGGAAGAGAUAAGUGCUGAAAGCAUCUAAGCACGAAACUUGCCCCGAGAUGAGUUCUCCCUGACCCUUUAAGGGUCCUGAAGGAACGUUGAAGACGACGACGUUGAUAGGCCGGGUGUGUAAGCGCAGCGAUGCGUUGAGCUAACCGGUACUAAUGAACCGUGAGG